GACCCAGUGGUGUAAUGGUUAUAUGUCUGUGGAUGGUUCGUAUUUGAAGAUGUUGGCAUGGAAGUUCCCUGUUCGAUUCAGGGCUGGGUUG